rnacentral:rRNA from 1 species
AUGAACGCUAGCGGCAGGCUUAACACAUGCAAGUCGAGGGGUAACAGGGAAGAGCUUGCUUUUCCGCUGACGACCGGCGCACGGGUGCGUAACGCGUAUAGAACCUACCUUUUACAGGGGAAUAGCCCAGAGAAAUUUGGAUUAAUGCCCCAUAGUAUUAUUGAAUGGCAUCAUUUAAUAAUUAAACAUUUAUGGGUAAAAGAUGGCUAUGCGUUCUAUUAGCUAGAUGGUAAGGUAACGGCUUACCAUGGCAACGAUAGAUAGGGGUCCUGAGAGGGAGAUCCCCCACACUGGUACUGAGACACGGACCAGACUCCUACGGGAGGCAGCAGUGAGGAAUAUUGGACAAUGGAGGCAACUCUGAUCCAGCCAUGCCGCGUGCAGGAAGACGGUCCUAUGGAUUGUAAACUGCUUUUAUAUAGGAAGAAACCUUUCCACGUGUGGAAAGCUGACGGUACUAUAAGAAUAAGCACCGGCUAACUCCGUGCCAGCAGCCGCGGUAAUACGGAGGGUGCAAGCGUUAUCCGGAAUCAUUGGGUUUAAAGGGUCCGUAGGCGGACUAAUAAGUCAGGGGUGAAAUCCAACAGCUUAACUGUUGAACUGCCUUUGAUACUGUUAGUCUUGAGUUAUAUGGAAGUAGAUAGAAUAUGUAGUGUAGCGGUGAAAUGCUUAGAGAUUACAUAGAAUACCGA